UACGUAGGUGGCAAGCGUUGUCCGGAAUUAUUGGGCGUAAAGCGCGCGCAGGCGGCCUCUUAAGUCUGAUGUGAAAGCCCCCGGCUCAACCGGGGAGGGCCAUUGGAAACUGGGAGGCUUGAGUAUAGGAGAGAAGAGUGGAAUUCCACGUGUAGCGGUGAAAUGCGUAGAGAUGUGGAGGGACACCAGUGGCGAAGGCGACUCUUUGGCCUAUAACUGACGCUGAGGCGCGAAAGCGUGGGGAGCAAACAGG
rnacentral:rRNA from 1 species